rnacentral:lncRNA from 1 species
GCGUCUCUCGAUUAUAGUACUAGUAGCAGUAUAUAUAAUAGGCCACUUUUGUUUGUCAAAAACAUAUUUAACUUUCCAUAAUCUGAAGAACUGUUAAGUAUUACUAUUAUGGAUUCCAUUGUAGGAAAAAUAUGGGAGUAUCUGUGCCAUCCUACUAACUCUGUUUUCCAAGGGCUACAGAUGGUGAAGAAUUGCUUUGUCGAUAAGCCACAGUGGCGUAAGGAUUUUGUUUGUCAAGUGCUGGACAUGCUAGAGAACAGUGAUGUCAAGUUGCUGGAGAAACUAAAAGUUCCUGCUGGCAAAGUGGUGUUAAGGCAAACGAAAUUUGGUGGCAAAGUGUUGCUUGCGCUGACGAAUGUUGGUUGAUAAAUUGUAGGGAACCUAGAGAGUAAUGUUGGUGGGUGGUUCAAUGAUAAGCUUCCGAGUACUGAAGAUAGAAAUGAGCUGCUUCAAAUUGCUUCUCUUAUCAUAGAGUUGAUGCUGGCAAAAAGUGAUGGAAGUACUUUUGAUCGCAUAGUGAUAUUGCUGAAGAAGCUCACUGUUAGUUUUGAUAAUUAGAAGAAGGAAAAUGAAGUUGAUAUAUUUGGUGGUUUGCUUUUAUAAUUAGUCUAAAGAUCAGUUAAAAAUGCAAGUACUAAUAAUAUAGCAGAGGUACUAUCGAUGUCUAUGUUUAAAGUUCAGUUGAAAUGCAAGUACAAUAUAGUAGACGUACUGUCAAUGUCUAUGUUUAAAGAUCAGUAAGAAUGCAACUGCUAAUAUAGUACACGUACUGCCAAUAUCUAUGUU